rnacentral:lncRNA from 1 species
CGAGAUUCCGUGGGCGUAGGAGCCUCCAAGCCAGGUGUGGGAUAUAAUCUCGUGGUUCGCCCUUUUUUGAGGGGUCUGAAAAGCGCAGUAUUUAGGGUGGGAGUGACCCGAUUUUCCAGGUGCCGUCUGUCACGCCUUUCUUUGACUUGGAAAGGGAACUCCCUGACCCCUUGCGCUUCCCAAGUGAGGCAAUGCCUCGCCCUGCUUGGGCUCGCGCAGGGUGCACGCACCCACUGGCCUGCGCCCACUGUCUGGCACUCCCUAGUGAGAUGAACCCGGUACCUCAGAUGGAAAUGCAGAAAUCACCGGUCUUUUGCAUCGCUCACGCUGGGAGCUGUAGACCGGAGCUUUUCCUGUUCGGCCAUCUUGGCUCCUCUAUCGGUGUUGUACUUCUUUAAAGGUCCUGAAGAAAAUGAAGUUGAUGUUUCAGUGAGACACCUGUAUGCCAGAGAGUAAAAGGGAUUAUUGUGGAUUCCUGAGAAUUUUCUACAUAUGAAAUCAUGUCAUCUAUGAACAGAGAAUAGAAAUUAUCAGCCCGAGAAUGAGAUGUCCCUAAUGCAUAAAGAGUUCUGCUAAGGAAAUGAAGCAUGUUCUUCAAGCAAGAAAGAAACUCUUUUCUGGAUUACAGUUAUUCUGACAGCCACAGGCCUCACAGAACUAGCAUAGCCAAGAUUUACACUUCAAAGGUAAUAUAUGAAGCAGUAAUAUGUCACCUGAUGAUAAUGCAUAUUCCUUUGUGUACUUGAUCUUAGUGAUAUUAAAUCCUUUUUUAUAUACACAUGCAAAUAAACUAUGCCAUGGUUAAAUUUUGCUGUAAAAUGUCCAAUUGUUCAAGUGAUUAGGAAAAGGUUAUAAUUUCUUAAGACCAUAUCAACACAUUAACUCAUUUUUUUCCUAGGAAUAGAAUAAAAAAAUACAUGACUAU